CCUCUGCCCCUCUCUCUCAACACCAUCGCCGACAACCUUCAUCAGUCAUUCAACUGGAGCGACGGUCGACGGAUUUGAAGGAUUUCCACUCUACGAUGGUAGUGCUUGAAAGUAAGAAAAAGGAAGUUGAGAAGUAUGAUGUUGUUGUCAAAGAAACAAGCAAGCCAAGCCAAUCAACAACUCAAGGAACUUCAUAAAGACUAUUGAAGAACUGGUGCAGUUACUCUAGCAAAGGGUGAAGAUGGACUUAAAGAAUGAUGUUUUAUGCCGAUGGAUGUUGGUGCGGCACUGAAUAAUGACUUUUAACUCUUUUUAAAGGUGAAGAUGUACUUAAAGAAUGAUGUUUUAUGCCGAUGGAUGCUGGUGCGGAACUGAAUAAUGGCUUCUACCACUUUUUAAAGCAGUUACAGUCCAAUUGUAGCACGAAGAGGGGUUCCUCCACCAUGCCAGCUGUCAUGACUCCAGGGGGAGCUUUGGAUCUUUCUGCUUAUACUAGACAAAAAUGGGAAUGUAACGAGUAAAACAACAAAUGUAGUCUACAAGGAAGUUUUUUCCGGCAUUUGAAUAGUUUUAUGUUUUUUUUCUUCUAA